GGGGUAUAGCUCAGUUGGCUAGAGCGUUUGAAUGGCAUUCAAAAGGUCGCGGGUUCGACUCCCGCUAUCUCC
rnacentral:tRNA from 1 species